CUUGUUGGUGGGGUAACGGCUCACCAAGGCGACGAUCCCUAGCUGGUCUGAGAGGAUGACCAGCCACACUGGAACUGAGACACGGUCCAGACUCCUACGGGAGGCAGCAGUGGGGAAUAUUGCACAAUGGGCGCAAGCCUGAUGCAGCCAUGCCGCGUGUAUGAAGAAGGCCUUCGGGUUGUAAAGUACUUUCAGCGGGGAGGAAGGGAGUAAAGUUAAUACCUUUGCUCAUUGACGUUAUCCGCAGAAGAAGCACCGGCUAACUCCGUGCCAGCAGCCGCGGUAAUACGGAGGGUGCAAGCGUUAAUCGGAAUUACUGGGCGUAAAGCGCACGCAGGCGGUUUGUUAAGUCAGAUGUGAAAUCCCCGGGCUCAACCUGGGAACUGCAUCUGAUACUGGCAAGCUUGAGUCUCGUAGAGGGGGGUAGAAUUCCAGGUGUAGCGGUGAAAUGCGUAGAGAUCUGGAGGAAUACCGGUGGCGAAGGCGGCCCCCUGGACGAAGACUGACGCUCAGGUGCGAAAGCGUGGGGAGCAAACAGGAUUAGAUACCCUGGUAGUCCACGCCGUAAACGAUGUCGACUUGGAGGUUGUGCCCUUGAGGCGUGGCUUCCGGAGCUAACGCGUUAAGUCGACCGCCUGGGGAGUACGGCCGCAAGGUUAAAACUCAAAUGAAUUGACGGGGGCCCGCACAAGCGGUGGAGCAUGUGGUUUAAUUCGAUGCAACGCGAAGAACCUUACCUGGUCUUGACAUCCACGGAAGUUUUCAGAGAUGAGAAUGUGCCUUCGGGAACCGUGAGACAGGUGCUGCAUGGCUGUCGUCAGCUCGUGUUGUGAAAUGUUGGGUUAAGUCCCGCAACGAGCGCAACCCUUAUCCUUUGUUGCCAGCGGUCCGGCCGGGAACUCAAAGGAGACUGCCAGUGA
rnacentral:rRNA from 1 species